UAACCCUUUAGGUGGAUGCUGGCUAACCGGGAGAGCAUGGGCCUUUCCGCUGUACUCACCUGGACUUCAGCGUGUAGCUGAGAAGGAUAAUUUCCAGAGCGUCUGUUCUGGGUUUCACCCAGGAGUUUCACUAAUCUGUUUGCUUGGUUGGAGACGGGAGCACUCCUCGCCUGUCACUCAGUAAAGUGGGAACCACAGUGUUUGCUGCUUUAAGGUAAUAAGAGCGUGGCCAUUUGUUUUGCGGCACAGAAAAGUACUGUGCAGAGGACCAGAGGCCGCACAGAACUGAAGAAACAUUGAUACAAGCAAGCAGUGAAUACACUGAGAAGAGCAGGUGCCACGAGGCCAGACGUAGAUGGCCGCGUCCUGCUCUCCCAUUCUCCAUCACGUGGCUUUUUGGCAGAAAAUAGACAAGUGCAUCAAUGGGUCAGAACAGACAUCCACAUCAAAGGAACAAAAGCAGUACUGCCUUUCCCACAAAGGGUGCUGGAGCAAGUGGAGAGCCAUGUGCUGAAAGAAAAAUUAACAUAGACACCCUGGACUUACACCCCUUAUAAAUAUUAACUCUACCUUGAUCACAAACUCCAUUGAAAACUGGAAAAUUAUAAAACUCCUAGAAGAUGAGGCAUUUGAAAAGUGAGUACCCUUAGGGUGACAGUGACUUUCAGAUCCUGAUAGUUAUUCAAAGGAGUUGAAAACAUCCACUCAGAUAUCCGCACGUGGAUAUUUAUAGCAGCCUUAUUCACAAUGCUACAACACACAAGCAGCCAAAAGGCCCUUGGAUGACUGGAUGAAAACACAAACCUCACACAAUGGCCGCUAUUCAGCACUGGAAAUGCAUGAGCUCUCAAGUCAUGACGAGACACUGAGGAACCUUAAAUGCAUAUCACCCAGUGUGCAAAGGCAUCUGAAAAGGCUACAUGGCUUUGGUGAGUGAGAAUUCAGGAUAAGAGAGGGGUGGCAAGUUAAAACUUGGGGCAGUAGAAAAUUUCCACAUGAGAAUGUCAUGACACCGUCAUUAUACAUUCGUUCAGACCCCUGGACUGUGUGAGGUCAAGAGUGGACACUGAUGUGACAGUAUGGGUUGUGACAGCUGUAUCCCUCUGGUGGAAGAUACUGGUAAUGUCCGGAACUAUGUGUAUUGCGGGUAGGAAGUGCAUGGAAGCUGUAUUUGCUGCAAAAAUCUCUUUGUGAACUUAAAACUGCGUGAAGGUAAUGGUUGUUCCUCCUUUGUUGGGGUUGAUCUGAAGUUGCUAUGUAUCCAAAUGUUAAUUGCUUGCCUCCCUCAAGAUCCCUGGUGUCCUACAAGCAAAUUCUCAUAUCCAAAAUAACAUUGUGUAAUUAUCCCCAUUUGGCUAAUAAAGUUGCCUACAGCCUGGAUUGGGCAGAAAAGAGUAGGCGGAGCAUUAA